AUUGAACGCUGGCGGCAGGCCUAACACAUGCAAGUCGAACGAGUGGCGGACGGGUGAGUAAUGUCUGGGAAACUGCCUGAUGGAGGGGGAUAACUACUGGAAACGGUAGCUAAUACCGCAUACCAUCGGAUGUGCCCAGAUGGGGUGAGCUAGUAGGUGGGGUAAAGGCUCACCUAGGCGACGAUACCUAGCUGGUCUGAGAGGAUGACCAGCAACACUGGACUUGGGAUACGGGCCAGACUCCUACGGGAGGCAGCAGUGGGGAAUCUUGCACAAUGGGCGCAAGCCUGCUGCAGCCAUGCCGCGUGUAUGAAGAAGGCCUUCGGGUUGUAAAGUACUUUCAGCGGGGAGGCGUUACCCGCAGAAGAAGCACCGGCUAACUCCGUGCCAGCAGCCGCGGUAAUUC
rnacentral:rRNA from 1 species